rnacentral:rRNA from 1 species
AAUAUUGGUCAAUGGAGGCAACUCUGAACCAGCCACGUCGCGUGAAGGAUGACGGCCCUACGGGUUGUAAACUUCUUUUAUACAGGAAUAAAGUGAGUCACGUGUGACUUUUUGCAUGUACUGCAUCAAUAAGGAUCGGGUAACUUCGUUCCAGCAGCCCCGGUAAUACGAAGGAUCCAAGCGUUAUCCGGAUUUAUUGGGUUUAAAGGGUGCGCAGGCGGAAGAUUAAGUCGGCGGUGAAAUUUUGCAGCUCAACUGUAAAAGUGCCAUCGAUACUGGUUUUCUUGAGUGCGGAUGAAGUGGGCGGAAUUUGUGGUGUAGCGGUGAAAUGCAUAGAUAUCACGAGGAACUCCGAUUGCGCAGGCAGCUUACUAGGCCAUAACUGACGCUCAGGCACGAAGGCGUGGGGAUCAAAC